rnacentral:other from 1 species
AUUACCCUACCGUUCACGUGAUGCUCUACGCGCCCCGACCUCAACAUUUUUUUUAUGGGGACUGAUGUUUUGGAGGUUAUGUGUUAGCCCACUCUUGGGCGAGGCAGACGCUUCUAUCCUAAGUUCCCACCUGUAUGUAAUAUGCAGGUCGAAAGGUGCUGGAUGACACACGGCUCGGCGGGGUAUUU